rnacentral:rRNA from 1 species
CCUACGGGGGGCAGCAGUGGGGGAUAUUGUACAAUGGGCGAAACCCUGAUGCAGCGACGCCGCGUGGGCGAAGAAGUAUUUCGGUAUGUAAAGCCCUAUCAGCAGGGAAGAAGAAAUGACGGUACCUGAGUACGAAGCACCGGCUAAAUACGUGCCAGCAGCCGCGGUAAUACGUAGGGUGCAAGCGUUAUCCGGAUUUACUGGGUGUAAAGGGAGCGCAGGCGGCCCGGCAAGGCUGAUGUGAAAGCCCGCGGCCCAACCGGGGGACUGCAUUGGGCACUGCCGGGCUGGAGUGCCGGAGAGGGAGGCGGAAUUCCUGGUGUAGCGGUGAAAUGCGGAGAUAUUAGGAGGAACACCAGUGGCGAAGGCGGCCUACUGGACGGUGACUGACGCUGAGGCUCGAAAGCGUGGGGAGCAAACAGGAUUAGAUACCCUAGUAGUC